CCAGUUGGCCGGGCAGCCGCGCUUUGCAAUGGUCGAAAGGCCGCAGGGUGAGGAAAGUCCGGGCUCCACGGAAACACGGCGCCGGAUAACGUCCGGCGGGGGCGACCCCAGGGAAAGUGCCACAGAAAACAGACCGCCCGGCUUGCCGGGUCAGGGUGAAAAGGUGGGGUAAGAGCCCACCGCGGGACUGGCAACAGGACCGGCAUGGUAAACCCCGCCGGGAGCAAGACCGAAUAGGGAUGACAUGUGCGCGCAAGCGCCAGGCCUGUUUCCGGGUCCGUCGUCCGGGUGGGUUGCGCGAGGCGUUGUGCAAACAGCGUCCCAGAUGAAUGGCUGCCACGUUCCGGCACAACCGGAGCCAUACAGAACCCGGCUUACAGGCCAACUGGCUUU
rnacentral:RNase_P_RNA from 1 species